GGAACUGAUAAGACACCAACUCCGCACCAGUCCAGACCCAUAUGACCGUGGCACCUCACAGAGGAGAGAACACAAUCAACUCUGCGGCACGCUAGGUCAGGACGAAAUCUAGUGGGCUUGUAGUCGUUUAUUCUACCCAGUAGUAGACCCAGCACCAGAGAAGACGACGAUGUUUGCGAUGACGGUACUCCUGCUACUCACGGCAACCCUCAUGCUGCCUGAGGACGGGGACGCCUUACCGCCUGGAGACUUCCUGCGAGCUAUGCUAUGUGCACAGAAGAAAAUAAGCCAGGGCUCAUGUUACUCGUGGGAGUGGGGAAGAGAUUACCGAUCUAUUCCAUUUGCCAAGAGGGGGAUGGAUGCCAAGGAACUCAAGGCGCUGUGCCUACUAAAGUAUGGACCUCGGGUCUGUGACUCACCCCUUCUCAACAUAAGAUCAGCUGACGAGGAUCGCUCCAAGAAGUCAGUGGAGUGGGACUCCAAUUAGGCGGUCACCAUUCAUCUCUGACACCACCUAUGUUAACCGAGAUAUGUUCCAAGAUCUUCAAGAACGACAUCUUAAAAGAGCCUUCCGGUCAAGAGUACAAGAUUGGAGUAAAUUGAUUGCGUGUCUUGUGAUUCCAAAGCAAUGUUCGAACCAACUGCAUCAUUUAUAUAUUUAAAAAAGCUUGUUUUUAGAUGAGAAUCAAUACUCUUCCGAAAUUCAGCAUACAUCUAUUGAGGUGGGUAAAUCGGCCAUAUACGCUGACCCACCCACGUCCUUCAAACACAAAAAUACAAGAAAUACAAAAAUGAACCAUAGAAAUGCAAAUAUUUCAUGCUGGACAUUCAGCCACUCUCACAUUGGUCGAGCCGCUUAUUGCCAUGCUAUCAUUGGUUGAACUUUAAAAACAAAAUGGAUAGUAUGUCUAUUGUGACAAAAAGACAGCCCUAGCUGGAAUGGAUAUAUUUGCAUCAACAUUCCAACCGAUAAGUUUGUAUAAAGCGUCAAAAGCGAGGGAAGAUGCGUUUCUCCAACCAUCUUUGAAUUUGCUGCUUGAAUGUAUGCUCCUCAAUACCCAAACCAGAACAUCGAUGCUUGCAUGGGAAAUCACAUUGCUUACCGCUUACUGUGUACGUAAUAUAGGUGAAGAGAUAAAUCCCGAUACGUUAGUCGAAAGAUGCCAGGUUUAUUGAAAUGGUCCAGUAUGCACUUAUCCGCCAUCAAAUAGCUUAGAUGUCCAGCUCAAUAAAACUACAUGGAGUAUACACAGCUCAAAGGAAGUUUUUUUUAUGUCUCCACUAUGUGAGCAUUAAUUCGCACACACCUACAUGUAGUGCCGUAUUUGUACGGUAUGGUAGUUGUUACAUAGAUCUCAUAAUUUACGAUAAGUCCGAUAAUCAUAAUCAUAUUCAUAACCUUCACUGCUUAUUCAUGAGAGUCCAGAGAGCUAAUUGCACGUGCGCAUUUGACCACCAUAGGUAGGUGUAGCCUGCCCAUAUACCAUGAUUCCAUUAAGUAGAAAGUUACAUGUGUGUGUUUGUGAGAGAGAGAGAGAGAGU